GAAAUGCGAUAAGUAAUGUGAAUUGCAGAAUUCAGUGAAUCAUCGAAUCUUUGAACGCACAUUGCGCCCGCCAGUAUUCUGGCGGGCAUGCCUGUUCGAGCGUCAUUUCGACCCUCAGGCCUUGCUUGCCUGGUGUUGGGGCCUUCUGCAGCGGCUGCUGCAGGCCCUGAAGCGCAGUGGCGGGCUCGCGACGGUCCCGAGCGCAGUAGAAUUUAUUCUCGCUUAGGGCGCCGCAGCGGGCAUCCAGCCGGUAAACCGGGCGCGCGGGCUCCCCUUCGCGGGGCGGCUCCGUCCCCCUUACAGCAUGGUUGACCUCGGAUCAGGUAGGAUUACCCGCUGAACUUAA
rnacentral:misc_RNA from 1 species